UGGGGAAUCUUGCACAAUGGGGGAAACCCUGAUGCAGCGACGCCGCGUGAGCGAUGAAGGUUUUCGAAUCGUAAAGCUCUGUCCUAUGGGAAGAUAAUGACGGUACCAUAGGAGGAAGCCCCGGCUAACUACGUGCCAGCAGCCGCGGUAAUACGUAGGGGGCGAGCGUUGUCCGGAAUUACUGGGCGUAAAGGGUUCGUAGGCGGCAUGACAAGUCCGAUGUAAAAGGCGAAAGCUCAACUUUCGUAAGCAUCGGAAACUGUCAAGCUUGAGUGAAGGAGAGGCAAGUGGAAUUCCUAGUGUAGCGGUGGAAUGCGUAGAUAUUAGGAGGAAUACCGGUGGCGAAGGCGACUUGCUGGACUUCAACUGACGCUGAGGAACGAAAGCGUGGGUAGCAAACAGG
rnacentral:rRNA from 1 species